AUUGAACGCUGGCGGCAGGCUUAACACAUGCAAGUCGAACGGAUUUGCGAACGGGUGAGUAACGCGUAGGUAACUGCCUGGUAGCGGGGGAUAACUAUUGGAAACGAUAGCUCAUACCGCAUACUACCAGAUGGACCUGCGUUGUAUUAGCUAGUUGGUGGGGUAACGGCUCACCAAGGCAACGAUACUUAGCCGACCUGAAAGGGGUAACGGCCACAUUGGGACUGAGAGACGGCCCAGACUUCGACGGGAGGCAGCAGUAGGGAAUCUUCGGAAAUGGACGGAAGUCUGACCGGGCAACGCCGCGGUAGUGAAGAAGGUUUUCGGAUCGUAAAGCGCUGUUGUAAGAGAAGCGGUAUCUUACCAGAAAGGGACGGCUAACUACGUGCCAGCAGCCGCGGUAAUUC
rnacentral:rRNA from 1 species